AAAAGAAAGAAAAGAAAGGAUAAAAAGAAGAAAAGGAGAAGAAAAUUUCAUUUUUUCUUUUCUUCUUCUUCUUCUCUUCCCUUCACCGCCAAGAUUUUGAAGACAUCCAAGUUCCAUUUUUUUUUCUUUUUCCUUCUUUAAUUUGCAGAGAACUUCUAAGAGAGAGUUUGGAAGAAGAAGAGAAAUUUUACUAGAAUUUUUAGGUUGAAGAAGAGGAGGAGAACUCAAGCAAAGUGUAUCAAUGGCUGAAUUUUAGUUCAUUCUGCACAUCACUGGUUUUUAAUUCGGUUUGAACUCUUCAAAAGGAAUUAAGAGGGCAGUUGGUUUUCGCUCGAAAUCAGGAGGUCUCUGGUUUUUCUUGUAUUUCAGAGUGUAUCGGUGGAGUUAGAAUCUCUAUUUGGCCGAGAAGAAUUAAACCGAGCUUAUAGACCAAGGAUCUAGCCCAAGAUUGUAGAGAUCGACUUCCCGGUGCCUGAUAGACUGCCUUAGUCUGCGGAAGCUUCAUUAUCGAUUGCCAGUACGUGUUUUGAGUUGGGCAUAGAGUCUGUUGUGUUGUGGUGUAUAUACACCCUUGUAUGUUAUAGAUACUCCACAGUUUGUAUAAGCUUUAGAAGCUGUAGUUGUGUAAAUUUUGUUGGUUAUAUUUUGAUUAAGGUGUCUUUAGGUUUACUCGUGAAAUCGGUAAAUUUUGAGGUACACUUCAUGUAUGUGUUUGACUAGCUGUGUUUGACUAGCCUAGGAUCCGAUGUGUUUUGUGGCAUGUACAAUAGUUUAUAUACUAGAUUGGCAAGUUCAUCACAUGAAAGUUUUAAGCAGGGUCGACAGAUACAGGUACAGAAAAGCGUUGUUCGUCGGCUUCACGCCAUCUUUCGGUCUAAGGUAGCAGGUAGUCCGGGAGGGGGUGUGACAUAGCAGCUUGCGAAGCAGCAAAGGAAGCAGUAUGGCUAAGGAAAUUCUUGACAGAUCUGGAAAUUGUUCCAAAUAUGCAUAUGCCAAUCACUUUAUACUAUGACAAUAGUGGUGCAGUUGCAAAUUCACGAGAACUUAGAAGCCAUAAACAGGAAAAGCAUAUCGAACGUAAAUACCAUCUUAUUAGGAAAAUUGGACAUCGUGGUGACGUUGUAGUGACCCAAAUUUCUUCUAAGCAAAACAUUGCUGAUCCUUUUACAAAAGCCUUCACGACUAAAGUGUUUGAGGGUCACCUAUAGAAUUUAGGUUUACGAUGUUUGUAAACUAAGACAAGUGGGAGACUUAUUGGACAUAUGCCCUAUUUAUUAUAUUCGUAUGUUUAUUGUACUCAUAUGUAUUAUUCUCUCUAAUGGUUAAAUUCAAACAAUUUUAUCCGACUAGGAGUUCUAGUAUA